UAAGCAUAUCAAUAAGCGGAGGAAAAGAAACCAACAGGGAUUGCCCCAGUAACGGCGAGUGAAGCGGCAACAGCUCAAAUUUGAAAUCUGGCCCCUCCGGGUCCGAGUUGUAAUUUGUAGAGGAUGCUUUUGGUGAGGUGCCGCCCGAGUUCCCUGGAACGGGACGCCACAGAGGGUGAGAGCCCCGUCUGGCUGGCCACCGAGCCUCUGUAAAGCUCCUUCGACGAGUCGAGUAGUUUGGGAAUGCUGCUCAAAAUGGGAGGUAUAUGUCUUCUAAAGCUAAAUAUUGGCCAGAGACCGAUAGCGCACAAGUAGAGUGAUCGAAAGAUGAAAAGCACCUUGAAAAGAGGGUUAAACAGUACGUGAAAUUGUUGAAAGGGAAGCGCUUGUGACCAGACUUGGGCGCGGCGGAUCAUCCGGGGUUCUCUCCGGUGCACUUCGCCGCGUUCAGGCCAGCAUCAGUUCGUCGCGGGGGAAAAAGGCUUCGGGAACGUGGCUCCUCCGGGAGUGUUAUAGCCCGUUGCAUAAUACCCUGCGGUGGACUGAGGACCGCGCAUCUGCAAGGAUGCUGGCGUAAUGG
rnacentral:rRNA from 1 species